rnacentral:tRNA from 1 species
AGAGAAAUGGCGGAGUGGUCAAUUGCGACAGUUCCAAAAAUUGUUUCAGCCCGUUGGAGUUCACGGGGAGUUCAAAUCCCUUUUUAUCUU